rnacentral:rRNA from 1 species
UACGUAGGGUGCAAGCGUUAAUCGGAAUUACUGGGCGUAAAGCGUGCGCAGGCGGUUCGUUGUGUCCGAUGUGAAAGCCCCGGGCUUAACCUGGGAAUGGCAUUGGAAACUGGCGAGCUUGAGUGCGGCAGGAGGGGGUGGAAUUCCGCGUGUAGCAGUGAAAUGCGUAGAGAUGCGGAGGAACACCGAUGGCGAAGGCAGCCCCCUGGGUCGACACUGACGCUCAGGCACGAAAGCGUGGGGAGCAAACAGG